CCUAGUUUUUAAAGGCUUGCAUUUGCACAUUAAAGGUUGCUGGCCCAGUGUUAAGAGCCAGGGCUUUCCAGCUAGACAAGAAACAUUUCUGGAGCUGCUUUAAAAGAAACAAAAAGGUUCCAAAGACUGCUUUUCCUCUCUAUCUGCCUAAAAUAAUUUCUUAAUAACUCCUAUCACAUAGCUUUUCAGAUGAAAAUGUAAAGUCAAAGGUCAGCAGAAGGGCUUAAUAAUACAAGUUAGGCAGUAUAGUAUUUUACUUACAGUUAUAUACAAUAUUUCCCAUUACAACUGAUGUAAUC